rnacentral:rRNA from 1 species
AUUGAACGCUGGCGGCAUGCCUUACACAUGCAAGUCGAACGGCAGCGCGGACUUCGGUCUGGCGGCGAGUGGCGAACGGGUGAGUAAUACAUCGGAACGUACCCUGUUGUGGGGGAUAACUAGUCGAAAGAUUAGCUAAUACCGCAUACGACCUGAGGGUGAAAGUGGGGGACCGCAAGGCCUCACGCAGCAGGAGCGGCCGAUGUCUGAUUAGCUAGUUGGUGGGGUAAAGGCCCACCAAGGCGACGAUCAGUAGCUAGUCUGAGGGGGCGAUCAGCCACACUGGGACUGAGACACGGCCCAGACUCCUACGGGAGGCAGCAGUGGGGAAUUUUGGACAAUGGGGGCAACCCUGAUCCAGCAAUGCCGCGUGUGUGAAGAAGGCCUUCGGGUUGUAAAGCACUUUUGUCCGGAAAGAAAUCGCGCUGGUUAAUACCUGGCGUGGAUGACGGUACCGGAAGAAUAAGCACCGGCUAACUACGU